AGCGGCGGACGGGUGAGUAACACGUGGGUAACCUGCCUGUAAGACUGGGAUAACUCCGGGAAACCGGGGCUAAUACCGGAUGGUUGUUUGAACCGCAUGGUUCAAACAUAAAAGGUGGCUUCGGCUACCACUUACAGAUGGACCCGCGGCGCAUUAGCUAGUUGGUGAGGUAACGGCUCACCAAGGCAACGAUGCGUAGCCGACCUGAGAGGGUGAUCGGCCACACUGGGACUGAGACACGGCCCAGACUCCUACGGGAGGCAGCAGUAGGGAAUCUUCCGCAAUGGACGAAAGUCUGACGGAGCAACGCCGCGUGAGUGAUGAAGGUUUUCGGAUCGUAAAGCUCUGUUGUUAGGGAAGAACAAGUACCGUUCGAAUAGGGCGGUACCUUGACGGUACCUAACCAGAAAGCCACGGCUAACUACGUGCCAGCAGCCGCGGUAAUACGUAGGUGGCAAGCGUUGUCCGGAAUUAUUGGGCGUAAAGGGCUCGCAGGCGGUUUCUUAAGUCUGAUGUGAAAGCCCCCGGCUCAACCGGGGAGGGUCAUUGGAAACUGGGGAACUUGAGUGCAGAAGAGGAGAGUGGAAUUCCACGUGUAGCGGUGAAAUGCGUAGAGAUGUGGAGGAACACCAGUGGCGAAGGCGACUCUCUGGUCUGUAACUGACGCUGAGGAGCGAAAGCGUGGGGAGCGAACAGGAUUAGAUACCCUGGUAGUCCACGCCGUAAACGAUGAGUGCUAAGUGUUAGGGGGUUUCCGCCCCUUAGUGCUGCAGCUAACGCAUUAAGCACUCCGCCUGGGGAGUACGGUCGCAAGACUGAAACUCAAAGGAAUUGACGGGGGCCCGCACAAGCGGUGGAGCAUGUGGUUUAAUUCAAA
rnacentral:rRNA from 1 species